GCCCUAAUAGCUCAGUGGUAGAGCGCCUGUCUCGUAAACAGGAGGUCCACCGAUCAAUCCGGUGUUGGGGCA